UACGAAGGGGGCUAGCGUUGUUCGGAAUCACUGGGCGUAAAGCGUAUGUAGGCGGAUUGUUAAGUCAGGGGUGAAAUCCUGGAGCUCAACUCCAGAACUGCCUUUGAUACUGGGGAUCUCGAGUCCGGGAGAGGUGAGUGGAACUGCGAGUGUAGAGGUGAAAUUCGUAGAUAUUCGCAAGAACACCAGUGGCGAAGGCGGCUCACUGGCCCGGUACUGACGCUGAGAAGCGAAAGCAUGGGGAGCGAACAGG
rnacentral:rRNA from 1 species